AUGACCGACCUCAUCGAGGAGGAGAGCGCUGACUUCAUGGCUCGGCUGCAUGAGCGCUCCGGGAUCGGCGAGGAGACGAGCGUGCCCAAUUCUUACCGCUAUAUGCCCCCCAAGCGCGGCGUGGAGGCUUCCCGGGAGGAAGCCGAGCUGGUCAUCUUCUCCGCCGUCGACAAGGUGCUGGCAAGGACGACGGUGAAUCCCGAGGACAUCGACACACUCAUCAUCGCCUGUAGCUUCACCACGCUGACACCGGUGUUCGCCGACGUGGUCGUCAACAAGUACAAGCUCCGCGCGGACGUGCAGAGCGUGAACCUGUCCGGGAUGGGGUGCAGCGGGGCGCUCAUCUGCGUCGGCCUCGCCGAGAAACUCCUGCAGGCUGCACCACCAGGGAAGCACAAGCACGUGCUGAUCAUAGCCACCGAGAUCCUGUCGUCGAUGAUGUACCACGGCACCAAGCGCGAGAUGCUUGUGCCCAAUGUGCUCUUCCGCAUGGGCGCCGCCGCCAUGAUCAUGACCAACUCACCGGAACGCGCGCGGUUCCGGCUCGGUCCGAUCGUGCGCACGCUGACCGCUGCCCGGGACAGCGACUACCGAUGCGCAUUCCAGGAGGAGGACGACAAGGGGAUCACGGGCAUCAACCUCUCCAAGGAACUUCCCGUCGUUGCUGCGAACGCGCUCAAGAGUCACAUUGUCACCUUCUGUCCCCGGGCCCUGCCUGCCUCGGAGCUUCUCCGGGUCGCCUUCUCCCUCGUCAAGCAGUACGUGUUCCCGCUCCCGGGCGCGCGUGGGCGUGCGGAGAAGGGCGCGCGGCCGGCCUUCAACAAGGUGUUCCAGCACUUCUGCAUCCACCCGGGCGGGCGCAGGGUGCUCCAGGAGGUGCAGCAUGGCCUCGGCCUCUCUGACCGUGACAUGGAGGCGUCGCACAUGACGCUGCACCGGUUCGGGAACAUGGCCAGCAGCUCGUUGCUGUACGAGCUGGCCUACAUCGAGGCCAAGGGCCGGAUGACCGAGGGUGACCGGGUGUGCAUGAUCUCCUUCAGCCCCGGCAUAGACUGCAGCAGCGUCGUAUGGGAGUGCAUCAACCCGGCGGCGGCAGAUCCCAACGGACCCUGGGCCGCCUGUAUCCACCGCUACCCUGUGCAGGUCAAGACGACCUAA
rnacentral:rRNA from 1 species